UCAACAACAUUAGCCGAGCUAGCUGGCUGUCCGUGCUUGUUCUAACUAGCCUGCGAAAGCUAAACAGUAAAUAUAGAUUUUUUUUUACACACAAUUUGACCAGUAAUACGGUGGAAAUUUAACACGUUUAGAAGUAGCUAACUGCUAGCUAGCUGCUAACGGUAACGGCUAGCUAACGGUAACGGCUAGCUAACGGUUCUUUGACUGUCAAAUGUUCCUAUAAACAGCUAAUUAGUAUAAAAACACGCUUGUUUUCACGACUGAUGUUUAUUUAUAUCUCCAAUUUGACCUAACCGGAUAUCUAGCUAAGUUGUAAGUUCUAAAUAUCCCUGAUAAACCUAAAUAUAACACUGAAUAUAUGUAUUAUUUAGUAUUCAUGGAGGACAGGAAGCAGUAUCGACUGGAUUUCCAGUAGAAUGAAUGGUACUGAUGGAGUUUGGCGUUUCAAUCAGAUCCUGAGGAAGGAAGAGGGAUUUGUUUGUAAGGUUGCCAACAGCUUUUAAUGCUGCAAACCAUUUUUCAGACACAUUCCACUGCACAGGCGAAUAGGAGGAAAAAAUUGGACUUGAUACCGGUUUCAUUGGAUUGAACUAAAAAUGGCUCAGGAGGUGUUUCCUUUGCAUUAUCUGGUCUGGAACAAUCGGUACCUGGAACUCGACAAAGAGCUGAAGAAAAAACAGCAGGACAUGGAGUGUGUAGAUCCACGUGGACGUACACCGCUUGAAUUGGCAGUGUGCCUCGGCCAUGUGGAGUCCAUGCGUGUGCUGCUGAGGCACAACGCAGAUCCUACACGCUGCAGUACACGAGGGUGGACAGUGUUACAGGAAGCAGUAAGUACAGGAGACCCUGAGCUGGUGCAGCUGGUCCUCCAGUACAGGGAUUUCAGACGAGCCACAGAGAGACUAGCUGGUAUUCCUGAGCUUCUCAGCAAACUGAGACAGGCUCGGGAUUUCUAUGUGGAGAUGAAGUGGGAGUUUACAAGCUGGGUGCCUUUGGUGUCGAAAGUGUGUCCGAGCGACGUGUACCGUGUGUGGAAGAGCGGCUCAUGUCUGCGAGUGGACACCACAUUACUGGGAUUUGAGCACAUGACGUGGCUUAAGGGCCGCCGCAGCUACAUUUUUAAGGGUGGAGAUCUAGACGGUGGGGCUACGGUGAUGGAGGUGGACCAUGAGAAGCAGGUUGUGUAUACAGAACCGCUGUCUCUGUCUCCACGUGAUGCCCCGUCCCUCCUUGCUGCCAUGCUGCCAUCACAAGAGAACACAGCGCAGAGGCUCACCUCCCCGAUCGUCUCCACACACCUUAACACACGCAACAUCGCUUUCGAGAGGAACAAGUCUGGAAUUUGGGGCUGGCGCUCAGAGAAAACCGAGGUGGUCAGCGGAUAUGAGGCGAAGGUGUACAGUGCCAGUAACGUGGAGCUGGUGACACGCUCUCGAACAGAACACCUCUCUGAUCAGGACAAGUCCAGAUGCAAAGGAUCCCGAACUCCUCUUCAGUCUUUCCUUGGAAUUGCAGAGCAGCAUGUGUCGAACAACGGGAGCCAGGUAUCUCAGUGUGCCAGUCCUCAUAACCCGACAGCCAUCACAGCCGAGGAAUACUUCGACCCCGAGUUUAAUCUGAACGGCAGGGACAUCGGCAGACCCAUCGAGCUCACCAGCAAGGUUCAGAGGUUUAAGGCCACGUUGUGGUUAAGUGAAGCCCACCCUCUUUCUCUGGCAGAGCAGGUGACACCAAUUAUUGAUCUCAUGGCUAUUUCCAAUGCUCACUUUGCUAAACUGCGAGACUUUAUCGCCCUGCGUCUGCCCCCUGGCUUCCCUGUGAAGAUAGAGAUCCCUCUCUUCCAUGUACUGAAUGCACGGGUGACCUUCAGUAACCUGUGUGGCUGCGAUGAGCCAGUCAGCUCCGUUACUGUGCACUCGCUACAAGGAGCCACUGAUGCAGGUCAGAGCCCUCACCCAUUGCACUGCGAGGUGGAUCCAUCUGUGUUCGAGCCUCCGGCAGAUUACACAAUGCUCGGCCCGGGACGCAACGAGCCGCUGAGAGAUGAGGAUGAUAACCUGCUGCAGUUUGCUAUUCAGCAGAGUUUGCUGGACGCAGGGACAGAAAGUGAUCAGGUAACAAUAUGGGAGGCUUUGACUAACACCCGUCCAAUGUCUUCUCAGCCUCCGCUUUAUGAGGAGGACUCCCAGCUCGAGCGGUGUAACAAUACCUGUGUUUCUCGGACAGUGCAAUCCAGGAGUCCCUGUCUCUUUCAUUGGCUGGUGGAGAAAGUGGGGAAGCUCCUGCUCAGUCUCCACCAGGUUCCUCACCUGACCCUGCCCUCAACUCCCCACCUUCCUACAACUCAUUGGCUGAUCCACGGGUAACCGGGGCAUUUGCAGUUGCAACCAGCUUUGAUGAGCAGCUGCGUCUGGCAAUGGAGCUUUCAUGCAGAGAGCAGGAGGAGCAGGACAGGAAAAGAAGAGAAGAAGAGGAGGAGCUGGAAAGGAUAAUACAGCUGUCACUCACAGAAAAGUGACCACACUAUCAGCUUCAAAAAAGCUUUAUUUAUUAUUUGUGCUUUUUUCUGCAGUGUUAAAUUAUUAUUAAAGAUUCAUGCUGUUUUUUUUUUUUUUUUUUUUUUUUUUUGAAAUGGGACAGAGGGCUUAAUCAAGAGAUCAGAGAGAGCGAGAGAGAUGGAGGAGUACCAGGUUAUGAAAAAAAGCAGUCAAAUGAUUUACAUCAAUCCACAUGGCAUGGCAAGACAGUGUUAAUGAUAUCCUCUCAAUCUCUGUGUCAUCAUUCUGAGUGAAAAUGUUCAAACUUUAUCUUUAUUAUUAUUAUGUGAAUAUGAAAUGUUGAUAACUAUGGCGAUACAUAA